GGAGCUCAGUGGCCCAAGAGCUAGGAUGUAAAGCUGACCUCUGAAUGGGUAUUAUGUCCUAUCGAAGUCUAUUGUUUCAUGAAGCCCAGGCCUAACAAUGUCCCAUUGUGGCAGAUGCAAGGGCGAGUUGGUUAAAUCCCAGUUUUCCACAUUUUCCCUUCAUUUUCAGUCUCCAGGUCUGUCCCCCUGAAGAUGGUUCCUCUCACCACCUGGGCUGCCACCACGCUGGCCAUGUAAGUAAGGAUGGUUUACAGGCUCCUCCAUCUGAUUUGGGGACACUGGAAAUCUCUUGUCUUUUCUCUGAUUUUUAUUAAGUAUAUAUAAAACCUAUGGCUCCUAUUUCAAGAGAGAAGGCCCAGGAAAAACUAUCUUUGGAACUGCCAAGCCAGAGCUACUGCCUCCCUGCAAAGCCACCUUUGGAACUACAAGGACACUCUAUACACAUGGAAGAUGCUCUUAAGGCUUUUAAGUAUAUCAGUGGAUGGUUUGAUACUUUCAUUCUAAAGGGAAUAUAAAGGCCAACUUCAACUGCAAGAGAUUGUUUUGCUGUACAUAAGCCUGGAAUGGGCAUUAAUCACUAAGUGGAUUUUUAAAUCCCUGGAGUAAAACAACAAAAACUCUAUGGCUACCAAGGUUUCUUGCUGCACACGGAUUUCUGGGUCACAUGACAUCUUUGUAUUGGCAUUGUCUGCACCAGGAUUGAAUAACCAGGAUUGGAGACAGUUACUAAGAAGGCCCUGGGAUGAUAGAAAAUUACAUGGAAAUCAUCUAUUUCACAUCUCACCUCCUACACAGAGCUGGCGGUGACUUCUAACUAGGAGGUUUUACAUAGCUGGGUGUUUUCUACUGAGCAGCAGGGAAACGAAAACCCAGAUGUUUCCAAGAAGGAAAAUGUGGUGGUUGCCAAUCUGUUCUGUGAUCAAGUUCUCUGCCUUUCCCUUCCUCCUUGGGUCAGAGGACCUUGAUACAGACAGAUCUUGGUACUGAUGCCCUAAGACAAGAAAGCCUCUGAGGUGGGGGCACUCAGAAGAGAAAAGCUGGGUCUCUUAGGCUGACCCCUUCAAGUAGGUGUCUAAGUACUUGCAGUGUUUAACAAGUACUCCUAUGUCUGGACAGGAGCCCAUAAAGUGUAACUGGAAGAAAAGAACACCAGCCCUGACAUUCACCUUUUGUGGGUGACCCCAGGCCAGCUGCUCAACCCCUCUGUGGUCUCUUCCUCCACCUAUGGAAUAGGGACAAUAACUGUCUUAUUUUUCUCACUGGAAUGUCGUUGAGGAACAAAGAGACAGACCUAUGUAGGUGGGCAUACUUUAUGCAAGUCACAUUCUGAGGUACAAAGGGGUAAGAAUUCAACAGAUGAACGGGGGACAGGCGACAAUCCAACCGCCAACAGCACGAUACACAUCCCAUGGUAAAACUUCUAUAAAUAUUAGCCAUCAGCCUUCAACCAUUAACAUGUUAUAUUGUUACUUAAGGAAUAAAAGUUAAUAUAUGUAAAACCCUGAGCACAAUACCUAGCACUUGGUAAAAUUUCUAUAUAAAUAUUAGGUAUUGGCUGGGCAUGGUGCCUCACGCUUGUAAUCCCAGCACUUUGGGAGGCUGAGGCAGGUGGAUGACUUGAUAUCAGGAGUUCGAGACCAGCCUGGCCAAAUGGAGAAACCCUGUCUCUACUAAAAAUAUAAA
rnacentral:lncRNA from 1 species